AUUCCAGCUCCAAUAGCGUAUAUUAAAGUUGUUGCAGUUAAAAAGCUCGUAGUUGGAUUUCGGAAUGGGUCAGUUGGUCCGCCGCAAGGUGAGUUACUGACUGAUUUGUUCUUCUUCGCAAAGACUGCGUGUGCUCUUUACUGAGUGUACGUAGGAUUUACGACGUUUACUUUGAAAAAAUUAGAGUGUUCAAAGCAGGCUAUCGCUUGAAUACAUGAGCAUGGAAUAAUGGAAUAGGAAGUCGUUUCUAUUUUGUCGGUUUUCGGAAAUCGACUUAAUGAUUAAUAGGGACAGUCGGGGGCAUUUGUAUUCAAACGACAGAGGUGAAAUUCUUGGACCGUUUGAAGACAAACUACUGCGAAAGCAUUUGCCAAGAAUGUUUUCAUUG
rnacentral:rRNA from 1 species